rnacentral:rRNA from 1 species
UGAAUUGCAGAAUCCCGUGAACCAUCGAGUCUUUGAACGCAAGUUGCGCCCGAGGCCAUUAGGCUGAGGGCACGUCUGCCUGGGCGUCACGCAUCGCGUCAUCCCUCCCCCAAUUCUGGCGUGGACGGGGUG